rnacentral:rRNA from 1 species
GAUGAACGCUGGCGGCGUGCCUAAUACAUGCAAGUCGAACGCAUUGUGGUUGAAAUGAUAUGAAGAACUUGUUCAGAUUUGAUUUUCAACAUUGCAAUGAGUGGCGAACGGGUGAGUAACACGUGGGAAACCUACCUCUUAGCAGGGGAUAACAUUUGGAAACAAAUGCUAAUACCGUAUAAUAAUUAAAACCGCAUGGUUUUAGUUUAAAAGAUGGUCUUGCUAUCACUAAGAGAUGGUCCCGCGGUGUAUUAGUUAGUUGGUGAGGUAAUGGCUCACCAAGACAAUGAUACAUAGCCGAGUUGAGAGACUGACCGGCCACAAUGGGACUGAGACACGGCCCAUACUCCUACGGAGGCAGCAGUAGG